AACGUAGGAGACAAACGUUAUCCGGAGUUACUGGGCGUAAAGGGCGUGUAGGCGGUCUGUUAAGUCUGGUGUGAAAGCUCUCGGCUAAACCGGGAGAGGUCGUUGGAUACUGGCAGACUAGAGGACGGUAGAGGCGUGUGGAAUUCCGGGUGUAGUGGUGAAAUGCGUAGAGAUCCGGAGGAACACCAGUGGCGAAGGCGACACGCUGGGCCGUACCUGACGCUAAAGCGCGACAGCAUGGGGAGCAAACGGG
rnacentral:rRNA from 1 species